GGAGGAUCCAAGCGUUAUCCGGAUUUAUUGGGUUUAAAGGGUGCGUAGGCGGUUUUAUAAGCUAGAGGUGAAAUCUCGGGGCUCAACUCCGAAAUUGCCUCUAAUACUGUAGGACUAGAGAGUAGUUGCGGUAGGCGGAAUGUAUGGUGUAGCGGUGAAAUGCUUAGAGAUCAUACAGAACACCGAUUGCGAAGGCAGCUUACCAAACUAUAUCUGACGUUGAGGCACGAAAGCGUGGGGAGCAAA
rnacentral:rRNA from 1 species